CAGUCCAAGAGCAUGGGAUAUCUUUCCAUUUCUUUGAAUCCUCUUUAAUUUCCUUUAUUAAUAUUUUAAAGUUGUCAGUAUAUAAGUCCUUUACCUCCUUCAUCAGGUUUAUUCCUAGGUGUUUUGUUUUUGUUUUUUUUUUUUUUUUUGGGUGUAAUUUUAAAAGAUAUUUUAUUUACAUUUCUUUUUUGAUAUUUCAUUGUUUGCAUAAAAAAAUGUAACUGAUUUCUAAAUGUUAAUCUUAUUUCCUGCUACUUUGCUGAAUUCAUUUGUCAGAUUGAGUAGUUUUUGUGUGGAGUCUUUAGAGUUUUCUAUAUAUAGUAUCCUGUCAUCUACAAAUAGUGACAAUUUUACCUCUUCUCUUCCAAUUUGAAUGCUUUUAACUUAUUUAUUUAUUUUGUGUGAUUGCUGUGGCUAGGACUUCCAAUACUAUGUUGAAUGAAAGUGGUGAGAUUGGGAAGCUUUGUGUUAUUGCAGAUUUUAGCGAGAAGUAUUUUGGCUUUUCUCUGUUGAGUAUUAUAUUGGCUGUGGGUUUGUUAUAAAUGGCUUUUACUAUGUUGAGUUAUGUUCCCUAUAUACCCACUUUGGUAAGAGUUUUUAUUGUGAAUGGAUGUUGAAUUUUCAAAUGAUUUUCUGCAUCUAUUGAGAUGAUCACGUGGUUUUGAUUUUCCUUUUGUUAAACUGGUAUGUGAUGGUGAUUGAUUUGCAUAAGUUGAACCAUCCAUGUGAACUUGGGAGAAAUCUGGCUUGGUUGUGGUGUGUGAUCUUUUUCAUGUGUGGUUGGAUUUGGUUGGCUAAAAUUUUGUUGAGAAUUUUUGCAUCUAUAUUCAUCAAAGAUAACUGACCUAUAAUUUUCUUUUUUUGAUUAUAUCUUUGUCUGUUUUUGGUAUUAAUGUGAUCAUGGCUUCAUAGAAUGUCUUUGGGACUAUUCCCUUUUCUUCAAUCUUUUGGAAGAGUUAAGAAGGAUUGGUAUAAGUUCUUUGCAUGUUUGGUAGAAUUUGCCUGUGAACCCAUCUGGUCCUAGACUUUCAUUUGUAGAGAGUUUUUAAAAUUUCAUAUUCUAUUUUACUUAUAGUUAUUGGUCUAUUCAAAUUAUCUAUUUCUUCUUGAUUCAUCUUUGCCAUUAUUUUUUGAGAACUGACAGUUUAUGCUUUACUGACUAUCUUGUUUUAUGGAUAUUUGUAUUCUCAUUCCCAUGCCCACCCUCUGCCCCCGCACCUCUGUAGUUAAAUUGCAAGAAGACAGAGACUGUGAUAGGUGCUCAAUAUAGUGAGUGGCUGAUAUUGAUGUUGAUGACGCUGUGUAUUCAUACUUAAAAAUAUAUAUUUGUUAUAUAUAUGUGUAUAUAUACAUGCACACAUAACAUGUAUGUAUAAAUAGAUAUAUAUGUACCUGCCUAUCUAUCUUUUGUGAGUUUUUUAUGGAGUAAAAGUUCAAGUACUGGAAAUAUGGUUAGGUGAUGGAGCUGACUAUUAAUGAUUUGCCUAGAGGUAGUAAUAGAGGCAAUGGUAGUAGUAAAGCUAAUUACCCUUUCUACAAAAGAAAUUGGUCAGAAAGGGAAAUUCAUGUGCAUAGACAGGAUGGCAAACUGCCAGUUUCACUUGUGCAAAUUUUAAAUUCCUAGGGCUUUGGGUCCCACUUCAUUGUGCCCCUUUCCUGCCCAGUGACAGAUGGCAGGUGUGGUCAGAUUUUCAUGUGAAUCAAGCAUUCCUGGGAGCCCAGACCUUGACAUCUGCUAUUGGAAAUCCAUAUUCUUUAGCAAUUUACCAAAAGAAUUGCAUCAGGAAGAGCCUAGCCGAUUCUUUCAAGAAGUCAUAUCACCAGAGAUAAUCAGGGCUCUGAGCAGAAAAUGCCACAUGCCCCAGCCUCUUCUCCUUUCCUCGGAACAUGUGUCCUUCAGAAGUGUGUCAAAACAGCACUGGAUCUCAUGUUACCUUCUGCCAGUGUAAGCCUUGACCAGACUCGAUUUGCUUCAACUCAUACAUUUAAGACCUCCUGGAGGGGAUGUGUUUUGUUUCUAUUUUGUAGGUGGAAAGAACAGGUUAGUAUAGAUUGAAAUGCUUAGAUGCAUUGACAGAAACACUAGAUGCUCACACAUUUGUAAAGCUAGAAAAGGUUCAGAGAUUGUCUAGUGAGUCCAGUCCUCUGUUUUCCAGAAGAAGGUGCCGAGCCCAAGGAUGUGAAGUAACUUGCCUGGGGACUGUGGGCUCUUUCUCUUUGAGUCUCUGGGCUGAAGGUCAUUUGGGUCCUAUCCUGUGCACUAGCCCAGUGAGUAGCUGAGUUUGGGCUUCUUGAGAACCCAAGCCUCCUCCUCCUUUGGAGCUGCACUGUUUCCUGUAUUGAGAGCUUGUGCAAAAAAAUGUGGUAUAGGAGCCAGGGUCUCUGGCACCAAAUGAGUGAAAAGAGGAUGUUUUGUUUUUUGAUCAUAAAGGGGCCACCAUGCUUCUGAGUGAGACUUGGAACAAAUCAUCCAGUUGACCAGGGAGGUGGUUCUCGACUCCGGCUGCACAUUCCAACCGGCUAGGUUGGUCUCCAGAAUCCCAAGACUCUGGUCCCCUCACCCAGAUCCAUUAAAUCAGGGUGGGGGUGGGAAGGAGAGGGCGAGCAUCAUACAAGGUCAUUCUCAGCACGACAGAGUGGCCAAGCCCUGCUCUGGUGUCUGCUUGUGGAUGCUCUUGAAACCUUGUUCUCUACUUACACUGAAGAUGGACUUAAGCUGCCCACUUACAUCCUAUAGUGGAGGGAGAUAGCGUCCCUGACAGACUUGCCUUCAAAAUAUCAAAAAGAACUCAUUGAUUUUGUUGAGGAGGGAGUGUACUGCCUGUCAAGUGGCCACCACCUCCAGCUUCGUGAAGGACAAGUAACUCUAUGACAUGCGGCUUCCUGCUUGUCUGCACAUUGCCCACCACAUCGCACGUCUGGCCUUCCAUGAGCAAAAGUUUCACUACUGAAAUCACUGGGUGACCUUUCUCGUUUUUCAUACAGCCGGAGGAAGAGACGGUUUGCUCUCGAGUAGGCUUGCUAUCAAGUUGAAUACUUCUGUCAGACAGGGAAGCAUCUAGCCAUGGAAGCCUGAAUCUGUAGCAUUUUUGGUGCCUUUGUCUUUUCCCCAUUCACUGCUGGAUGAGGUGGCUAUUUUGGGACUGUGUUCAAUAUCUUUGGAGCUCAUGGAAGCGAGAGACUUACAAGAUACCAAAAGUGGUCAGGCAGCUCUUGUUUCUUGCUACCUCUAUUCCAAAGGUGUUGGAUCUUAGAAAGCAAGUAGAAGGUCCCAAACUGUAAUGGCCAGGGCACCAGCUUCUCCUGACCACAGCAACGUGCUGCCUCUUCCCCCCACAAAUCAAGGGCUGGAAGCUGAAAAUCAGCAUCCUCUGGAGAAGCCUCCUGAGAAAAAAAGAGCAACAG
ensembl:lncRNA